AUAGAAAUAAAAAAAAUAUAUAACCUGAUGCAGGCAAGUAAAUACAGCAAUGAAUAUUUGUUAUUAAAAAAAGGAAAAAAUAUUUCUUGGCAUCAUCAAAGAAAAGUAUGAAAGAUUUGCUGUGGAAAUAAAUAUGUACAGAUCCAGCCAUCUCAUUCACCCAAACUGUAUAAACAUUUGCAAAAAUUUCCUUCCUCUAUUAAAUAUAUCCCCAGAGCAGCCAGCCCACACAGACCUGGGGCAUUCACAUGUCAGAAUAUUCCAUAAAGAUCUGGGAACAGAUAUUUUUGGCAGAAAGAAAUACUUAAUGUGCUGAGAAAGACUGCCUACGACAUCAUUCAGGGUUAUGGGCUGAGUCAGGAACUCCUUGCAAUGACAAAACGUUGGUGUCAGUAUACAACGCUUGAAUCACUUAUUACAGACACUUUCAACAAGGGGAGGGGCUUUUGUUUCUGUUGCUAAAUAGGUGGCAACAAGUGAAGGAGCGGUAAUAGGGAUCUUGGAAGGCUGCUUCAGGACACUACCCUACACCACCCCAACGCCUACUUUUCCAGUAAAAGAGAGCCAGGUGAGGCGGUGCGUGCUUGCCAUCCCCGCACCGGAGAGGCUGCCAACACAGCCGACCUGUUAAGUUCCAGCUCUAAGAGAUAUUUAAUGUCUUAAAAACAAACAAACAAACACAAACAAACAAAAAACAAGGAACAUCACCCCAGGUUGUCUUUUGUUUGCUUAAGUGUGUGUAGACACACACAGAGACGCACACGUGCAGUUUCUCUCUGCACACUUAUCCGUGUGUGCUGAACCUGCAGGAUUGAUAGAGUUGAUCUUGAUAAAGCCUCUGAUAUCUCAAUGGGUACAGGUUCAGAAAUUCCUCUUAGAAGCCCGUACACGAAGUCCUAACAGAAUCUGCGGGCUUAUUCCUGUGUUCCUGAAAUCUGCAGUUUUUGUAGACGAGAGGUUGCAUCCAAGAGCAUUUUGUGCCCUUUCCCCCAAAUACCUGGUCAGCUAUCACUUCCUGCCAGAGGUCUUCUCUGACCAUCUUCUGCAGCCAGAGGCCUCACCCUCCAAUUUUUCUCAUCAUUGCCUGCCGCUGAGUUCACGACCAGCUGUCAUUACCUUGCUGAUCUGCUUAAGUCCAUCUACUCAAUUAGAAGGCUCCAGGGUACCUGGGACAAUGUGUGUACGGCACCAUACCUGAAUGGAACCCAGGGCUACAGACCGCUAAGCAAGAGCCCUAUUAGCUGCGCUGGAGACUCAGCUGGAAACUUCUUUAAAAGCAGGUAUCUUUAUCUCGUGCAGCCACACCCACGCUCCCCAUCCUUUCCCACAGCCCGCGCGCCCGGUGCCUCAUUUAUCGAAGCCCUUCUCUCCCACCCGACCACUUCAGAGGCCACCAGGCCUAAGCACGGCCACGAAACGCUCCGGUACCAACUCUCGGGGCCAGGCCCGGCUUGAGCGAGAGCAAGUCGCCUUCCCCGCCACCCGCUCCACCCUCCGACGCGAGCCCGGCG
rnacentral:lncRNA from 1 species